GGUAAUACGUAGGUGGCAAGCGUUGUCCGGAUUUAUUGGGCGUAAAGCGAGCGCAGGCGGUUUUUUAAGUCUGAUGUGAAAGCCUUCGGCUUAACCGGAGAAGUGCAUCGGAAACUGGGAGACUUGAGUGCAGAAGAGGACAGUGGAACUCCAUGUGUAGCGGUGGAAUGCGUAGAUAUAUGGAAGAACACCAGUGGCGAAGGCGGCUGUCUAGUCUGUAACUGACGCUGAGGCUCGAAAGCAUGGGUAGCGAACAGGAUUAGAUACCCUGGUAGUCCAUGCCGUAAACGAUGAGUGCUAAGUGUUGGAGGGUUUCCGCCCUUCAGUGCUGCAGCUAACGCAUUAAGCACUCCGCCUGGGGAGUACGACCGCAAGGUUGAAACUCAAAGGAAUUGACGGGGGCCCGCACAAGCGGUGGAGCAUGUGGUUUAAUUCGAAGCUACGCGAAGAACCUUACCAGGUCUUGACAUCUUCUGCCAAUCUUAGAGAUAAGACGUUCCCUUCGGGGACAGAAUGACAGGUGGUGCAUGGUUGUCGUCAGCUCGUGUCGUGAGAUGUUGGGUUAAGUCCCGCAACGAGCGCAACCCUUAUUAUCAGUUGCCAGCAUUCAGUUGGGCACUCUGGUGAGACUGCCGGUGACAAACCGGAGGAAGGUGGGGAUGACGUCAAAUCAUCAUGCCCCUUAUGACCUGGGCUACACACGUGCUACAAUGGACGGUACAACGAGUCGCGAAGUCGUGAGGCUAAGCUAAUCUCUUAAAGCCGUUCUCAGUUCGGAUUGUAGGCUGCAACUCGCCUACAUGAAGUUGGAAUCGCUAGUAAUCGCGGAUCAGCAUGCCGCGGUGAAUACGUUCCCGGGCCUUGUACACACCGCCCGUCACACCAUGAGAGUUUGUAACACCCAAAGCCGGUGAGAUAACCUUCG
rnacentral:rRNA from 2 species